rnacentral:rRNA from 1 species
GGGGGGACACAGUAGGGAAUCUUCCACAAUGGACGCAAGUCUGAUGGAGCAACGCCGCGUGAGUGAAGAAGGUUUUCGGAUCGUAAAGCUCUGUUGUUGGUGAAGAAGGAUAGAGGCAGUAACUGGUCUUUAUUUGACGGUAAUCAACCAGAAAGUCACGGCUAACUACGUGCCAGCAGCCGCGGUAAUACGUAGGUGGCAAGCGUUGUCCGGAUUUAUUGGGCGUAAAGCGAGCGCAGGCGGAAUGAUAAGUCUGAUGUGAAAGCCCACGGCUCAACCGUGGAACUGCAUCGGAAACUGUCAUUCUUGAGUGCAGAAGAGGAGAGUGGAAUUCCAUGUGUAGCGGUGGAAUGCGUAGAUAUAUGGAAGAACACCAGUGGCGAAGGCGGCUCUCUGGUCUGCAACUGACGCUGAGGCUCGAAAGCAUGGGUAGCGAACAGGAUUAGAUACCCUGGUAGUCCAUGCCGUAAACGAUGAGCGCUAGGUGUUGGGGACUUUCCGGUUCUCAGUGCCGCAGCAAACGCAUAAGCGCUCCGCCUGGGGAUACG